rnacentral:rRNA from 1 species
AUUAGAGUUUGAUCAUGGCUCAGGACGAACGCUGGCGGCGUGCCUAACACAUGCAAGUCGAGCGGGGUCCAACCAGUGGCAACACUGGGGAAGACCUAGCGGCGAACGGGUGAGUAACACGUGAGGAACCUGCCCCGAAGACUGGGAUAACUCCGGGAAACCGGUGCUAAUACCAGAUGCCCUCAUCGAACCGCAUGGUUCUUUGAGGAAAUGGAUUCCGCUUCGGGAGGGUCUCGCGGCCUAUCAGCUUGUUGGUGAGGUAACGGCUCACCAAGGCGUCGACGGGUAGCUGGUCUGAGAGGACGAUCAGCCACACUGGGACUGAGACACGGCCCAGACUCCUACGGGAGGCAGCAGUCGGGAAUCUUGCGCAAUGGGCGAAAGCCUGACGCAGCAACACCGUGUGUGUGAGGAAGGCCUUCGGGUCGUAAAGCACUGUUGUUGGGGACGAAGGGCGAGAGGUUAAUAGCCUCGAGCUUGACGGUACCCUUCGAGGAAGCCCCGGCUAACUACGUGCCAGCAGCCGCGGUAAUACGUAGGGGGCGAGCGUUGUCCGGAAUUAUUGGGCGUAAAGAGCGUGUAGGCGGUUCGGUAAGUCUGCUGUGAAAACCCAGGGCUCAACCCUGGGCGUGCAGUGGAUACUGCCGGGCUAGAGGGUGGUAGAGGCAAGUGGAAUUCCCAGUGUAGCGGUGAAAUGCGCAGAUAUUGGGAGGAACACCAGUAGCGAAGGCGGCUUGCUGGGCCACACCUGACGCUGAGACGCGAAAGCUAGGGGAGCGAACAGGAUUAGAUACCCUGGUAGUCCUAGCCGUAAACGAUGGACACUAGGUGUGGGCGGAGUCGAAUCUGUCCGUGCCGAAGCCAACGCGAUAAGUGUCCCGCCUGGGGAGUACGGCCGCAAGGCUAAAACUCAAAAGAAUUGACGGGGGCCCGCACAAGCAGCGGAGCAUGUUCUUUAAUUCGAUGCAACGCGAAAAACCUUACCUAGGCUUGACAUGGUGCUGCAAGCGCACAGAAAUGUGUGACCUUCGAGGGUGCACCCACAGAUGCUGCAUGGCUGUCGUUCAGCUCGUGUCGUGAGAUGUUGGGUUAAGUCCCGCAACGAGCGCAACCCUCGUCCUUAGUUGCCAUCAUUAAGUUGGGCACUCUAAGGAAACCGCCGGUGAUAAGCCGGAGGAAGGUGGGGAUGACGUCAAGUCCUCAUGGCCCUUACACGCUGGGCUACACACGUGCUACAAUGGCGGUGACAGUGGGCAGCAAACCCGCGAGGGUGAGCUAAUCUCCAAAAGCCGUCUCAGUUCGGAUUGUUCUCUGCAACUCGAGAGCAUGAAGGCGGAAUCGCUAGUAAUCGCGGAUCAGCAUGCCGCGGUGAAUACGUUCCCAGGCCUUGUACACACCGCCCGUCACACCAAU